GCUAACUGCCAAACCACCCUUGUAGGAAGCCAAGGAUGUUUGAGGAGCCACAGAACCUUCCCUGUCCGGUGUGGAGAGAGAGCUGAGAGUGAGAAGAGGAUCAGCAGGGUGUGCUUUCUUUCAAUUUACUUAUGAUCUUACCUGGUCCUGGCACACCUUUUUUGUUGUUGUUGUUGUUGUUGUUGUUGUUGUUUUGGUACCGGGAUCAAACUCGGGUCCUUGUGCUUGCACAGCAGGUGGUGAAACCACUGAGCUAAAUCCCCAGCCCUGUUGUUGUUUGUUUUUUGUUACAAGGUCUUGCUAUGUGGUUCAGGCUGGCCUUCAACUCACUAUGUAGCACAGGCUGGACUCAAAUUUGCAGAGAUCCUCCUGUCUCAGCCUCCCAAGUGCUAGGAUUACAGAAAAGAAAACUGAGCCUGGAAGUUUAUCAAGGCAAGAUAGAAACAAUCCAGCCAUGUAACCUCCAGCAGAUGGACACAUGCUUACUUCGGGCAAGAUGGGCAACACUUGCCCUCCUCCCUGAGAGCCUCUCCAUACCCAGGGCAAGCUGGCUGGGAGCGCAUUUUCCCUGGCUGAAUCCUGUCUCCAGCCCAGAGUCCCUCCUGGAGCAGCCAGCACAAUUAUGCCCACUUUCCUCUCUGAAAUGGUUGACCUGCAUUUCUGAGUUGCUGGUAAAAUAAAUUAAAAGUAACAUUUUGCUUUGUUGUUUUCAUUUCUUAUUCCAUUUCCAGCCAUGUGAUGUCUUAUGAAUCCCUUUUUGCUUUUCUUACUCCACCUCAACAGUCAGCACAGUGAGAGAGAGG
rnacentral:lncRNA from 1 species